rnacentral:rRNA from 1 species
UACGUAGGGCGCAAGCGUUGUCCGGAAUCAUUGGGCGUAAAGGGCUCGUAGGCGGUCCGUCACGUCGGGAGUGAAAACUCAGGGCUCAACCCUGAGCGUGCUUCCGAUACGGGCGGACUAGAGGUAUGCAGGGGAGAACGGAAUUCCUGGUGUAGCGGUGGAAUGCGCAGAUAUCAGGAGGAACACCGGUGGCGAAGGCGGUUCUCUGGGCAUUACCUGACGCUGAGGAGCGAAAGCAUGGGGAGCGAACAGG